rnacentral:rRNA from 1 species
CNCGCCUCCCCUCCGCCGGCCGACUCAGACUCCGUACGGGAGGCGAGCAGGUGGGGAAGUUUGCGCAAUGGGGAACCGUGACGCAGCACGCCGCGUGGAGGAUGAAGUACUUCGGUACGUAACUCCUUCGAUCGGGACGAUAAUGACGGUACGGAAGAAGAAGCCCCGGCUAACUUCGUGCCAGCAGCCGCGGUAAUUC